rnacentral:tRNA from 1 species
GCCAGCAUGGCAUAGUGGUUUGAGUGUUGGACUAGGACUCAGGAGACCAGGGUUCCAAUCCCGGCUCAGCCA